rnacentral:lncRNA from 1 species
GCCACCACCCAUGGGCCGAAAUCCUCCAACGUCACUUCGGCCACCCCUCAUCGAUUGAAAUCCAUCACCACCCAUUGGUGGAUACCCUCCCCCAUCAACUCUUCCGAUUGGUCGAAACCCUCCUCUUCCACCACCGCCACUCAUCGGAGAAAACCCUUCUUCACCAUCCACGCCACCAACAGUAGGUCGAAACCCUCCAAUUCCAUCACCAAUUGGUCUCAAUCCUCCUACCCCUCCAUCCCGACUAGACGGCUGAGGGUAGGGCGGCGGGCUAUCAUAAGGCC